GUAACCUUGAAGACAUUGGUCUUGUGGGGAAGUAAACACAUGUAUGGCACUGUUGGCCAACAUUAGCACUUUAAUUUGACACAAAGCUGUUGUGGUAGUGGAAGAAAGCAGGGCAGCAGUUGUGUGUCCAGGGAAAAAUGCCCUGGAGCCCGUGGCGUGUAGAAGACAGUGCAGAUAAACCAGAAAUUUCCAGAAUCUUCAUCUGCCUCCUGCCUCAAAGAUUAAACAUAGCACCUUGCUCCAGGGGAGGCUGGCAGAUCUCCUGGGUAGCUUCCCAGCUCCCUGGACCGGACCGAGAGUCAUAAGUUCCUAAAGACCUGAGCCUCUUUUUGGCAAUGUGUGAAGAUGAAAGUGGUCAGUGGCCCAUUGGAAGGGACCCAUGUGGCCUGCAGUAGAGACUGUCUUCUGCAGAGAUGUCAAUGAAGUUGCAAAUACCAGAUAAUGAUAAAGAGAAAUGGGGUCACAGCUCAUAUUGCCUUACAUAGAAAACAUGAAGUUAUCAAAUCAUAAUUCACAAGUGAAAACAUAUAAUUAAACUUUGUCAUUGCUCCCU
rnacentral:lncRNA from 1 species